AUGACGUGCUGUUAUUCAGACCAACAGCCCAAUUGCAAGUGUGAACAACAGUUCAGUAAACCACACGGAUUUCAGUAUCAAGCUAUUGCAUUCACUGGAUCCGUCAACCCACUGAAAAAGCACUGGAAUGGCUCGGAUAUAUUUGUAGUGAUGGUGCAAGCUCACUAUUGGCUUAAGUCUUUAUUUUUAAAUUUUGCUGACUUCUCAGUUUAUUAUAUUUCUCUCUCUUCCACAGAUAAUUAUUGUCAAACAUUCACUCAGUCUGAAGAUGUGGUAAAAAGACCAGGUGAAUCUUUUCGUCUGGUCUGUACUGCCUCUGGAUUUACAUUCAGCAGCUCCUAUGCAGCUGUAGUGAGACAGGCACCUGGUAAAGGACUUGAUUGGGUUGCAACUAUUGGCACAUCUAGUUCUCCAAUCUACUACUGGGAAUCCGUCCAGGGCAGGUUCACAGUGUCCAGAGAUGAUUCCAGCAGUCAACUGUAUCUACAGAUGAACAGCCUCAAGACUGAAGACACUGCUGUGUAUUACUGCACUAGAGAGUCAAAGUGAAUGAGUUCAGUGUCAAAGCAAUACAAAAACCUUCACUUAUGCUCCAGAUGUACUGUUCCAUUUCCAAGCAGUCUUAGUUCACUGUUUCGGACAUCGCGUUUGUUUUCUUGAC